rnacentral:rRNA from 1 species
GCCAGACUCCUACGGGAGGCAGCAGUGGGGAAUAUUGGGCAAUGGGCGCAAGCCUGACCCAGCAACGCCGCGUGAAGGAAGAAGGCUUUCGGGUUGUAAACUUCUUUUCUUGGGGACGAAGAAAGUGACGGUACCCAAGGAAUAAGCCACGGCUAACUACGUGCCAGCAGCCGCGGUAAUACGUAGGUGGCAAGCGUUAUCCGGAUUUAUUGGGUGUAAAGGGCGUGUAGGCGGGAAUGCAAGUCAGAUGUGAAAACUAUGGGCUCAACCCAUAGCCUGCAUUUGAAACUGUAUUUCUUGAGUGCUGGAGAGGCAAUCGGAAUUCCGUGUGUAGCGGUGAAAUGCGUAGAUAUUAGGAAGAACACCGGUGGCGAAGGCGACUUUCUGGACUGUAACUGACGUUGAGGCACGAAAGUGCGGGGAGCAAACAGGAUUAGAUACCCGAGUAUC